GAUGAACGCUGGCGGCGUGCCUAAUACAUGCAAGUCGAGCGAACGGACGAGAAGCUUGCUUCUCUGAUGUUAGCGGCGGACGGGUGAGUAACACGUGGAUAACCUACCUAUAAGACUGGGAUAACUUCGGGAAACCGUAGCUAAUACCGGAUAAUAUUUUGAACCGCAUGGUUCAAAAGUGAAAGACGGUCUUGCUGUCACUUAUAGAUGGAUCCGCGCUGCAUUAGCUAGUUGGUAAGGUAACGGCUUACCAAGGCAACGAUGCAUAGCCGACCUGAGAGGGUGAUCGGCCACACUGGAACUGAGACACGGUCCAGACUCCUACGGGAGGCAGCAGUAGGGAAUCUUCCGCAAUGGGCGAAAGCCUGACGGAGCAACGCCGCGUGAGUGAUGAAGGUCUUCGGAUCGUAAAACUCUGUUAUUAGGGAAGAACAUAUGUGUAAGUAACUGUGCACAUCUUGACGGUACCUAAUCAGAAAGCCACGGCUAACUACGUGCCAGCAGCCGCGGUAAUACGUAGGUGGCAAGCGUUAUCCGGAAUUUAUGGGCGUAAAGCGCGCGUAGGCGGUUUUUUAGUCUGAUGUGAAAGCCCACGGCUCAACCGUGGAGGGUCAUUGGAAACUGGAAAACUUGAGUGCAGAAGAGGAAAGUGGAAUUCCAUGUGUAGCGGUGAAAUGCGCAGAGAUAUGGAGGAACACCAGUGGCGAAGGCGACUUUCUGGUCUGUAACUGACGCUGAUGUGCGAAAGCGUGGGGAUCAAACAGGAUUAGAUACCCUGGUAGUCCACGCCGUAAACGAUGAGUGCUAAGUGUUAGGGGGUUUCCGCCCCUUAGUGCUGCAGCUAACGCAUUAAGCACUCCGCCUGGGGAGUACGACCGCAAGGUUGAAACUCAAAGGAAUUGACGGGGACCCGCACAAGCGGUGGAGCAUGUGGUUUAAUUCGAAGCAACGCGAAGAACCUUACCAAAUCUUGACAUCCUUUGACAACUCUAGAGAUAGAGCCUUCCCCUUCGGGGGACAAAGUGACAGGUGGUGCAUGGUUGUCGUCAGCUCGUGUCGUGAGAUGUUGGGUUAAGUCCCGCAACGAGCGCAACCCUUAAGCUUAGUUGCCAUCAUUAAGUUGGGCACUCUAAGUUGACUGCCGGUGACAAACCGGAGGAAGGUGGGGAUGACGUCAAAUCAUCAUGCCCCUUAUGAUUUGGGCUACACACGUGCUACAAUGGACAAUACAAAGGGCAGCGAAACCGCGAGGUCAAGCAAAUCCCAUAAAGUUGUUCUCAGUUCGGAUUGUAGUCUGCAACUCGACUACAUGAAGCUGGAAUCGCUAGUAAUCGUAGAUCAGCAUGCUACGGUGAAUACGUUCCCGGGUCU
rnacentral:rRNA from 1 species